UCUAAGCCGAUACACAAACAAAACUCUUUCGGCGAGUGAGCGUUUUGCUAGUUGGCCAAUGCGCAGCGUGUCGAAAGGACUGCGUAGACAACAGCCAAACAGAACCGGACUCUUUAGCGGUAAAGGACAGCGAUAAAUGUAAUGCUUCCAUGACAUCGGGAUCACAAAAACGCGCUACAACUUGACGAUAGCAGCGGUAUUUCUUUCGCUAGUACUUGAAAGUUUAAUAGGAAUGUGGCCAGGACAAAUGAUUUCUUAAGGUCCCCGCUGGUUCUUUGCAAGUGAAACAUCAGUCAUGUUGAUGGACUUGAAGUCGUUCGGUGCUGAGUGGAUCUAUGUUUCGAGAUGACGGAUAGCUACGGUACGGGUUAUCUGGUUCAGAUCAGUUCUUUGGUAAAUAAACUCGGUCUUUUUCUUCCCACGCCCGCCCGUGGUUUCGUUUCCACUCAAAAGUUUGGAAUUCCGAGUGAAGACAAAGACAUCACCGCAAAGUACGUAAGUAAGUAUUGUUCUCUUCCUGGAUUGGUUGGAAGGACCCUGGACCCGGGAAGAACGUUUGCUUACGUGGACUAACGAGUGAAGCAGUGCCACCGAAGGCAAGUUUUGAUUGCGGUCUUGCUCAAAGAAGACUCACAGAUGAUAUGCUAAACCCGAGACUCAAGUACUGCAUGGAGUCACCGUUAGGCCGUAAAGGGACAAAACUGAUCGCUUCGUUUGCCGGAUUGGAUCGUGGUCUAAUUUGAACUUCAGUUGAGUUUGUUUGCAGCCACGCCCGCGCACAAGCGUGAAAACUCACUCAAGGCUGUGAGGAUCGAAUUGUUGACUCUCUUCUAACUCCCAGGUGCAGCAGAACGGUGGCGAAACCCUGCUUACAUAAGAAUUGGACUCAAAGAAGUACAGUGGUCUGCGAUUGGCUGGCAACCAGUUCAGGGUGUACCCCGCCUCCUGCCCGUUGACAGCCUGGGAUAGGUUCCAGCACUCCCCGCGACCCUCGUGAGGAUAAGCUGUGAAGAAAAUGGAUGGAUGAAUGGAUGGAAGUACUGUGAUCUACCCUGCGGCUGGAAAUGUGUAACGACACGGAUGGGAACAUGGAUUAUUGGUCGCUCCCAGUAAAGAAUGGUCUGGUCUGUUUACCAACACUGAUCACAGCACCCCCUCCCCUGUGACCCUUGUGAGGAUAAGCGUCAAAAGAAAAUGGAUAGAUGUAUCAUAAGUUAAAUACACCUGAACUGUACUUGACAAAUGUAGUCUAAUGUAUUAAAGAGGUUUA